rnacentral:lncRNA from 1 species
UUCAAAACCCUAUUCUCAUUCUCUCUAUUCGGCCAAUGGCGCCGGCGAGCUCGCGCAGUGGCUCUGCCACAUUCUGCUGUAGCUCCGCUGUGUCAGAAGGCCCAAAAUCUGAUUUCCCCCUUUUUAGAUCCCUUUCCUUUAAAAAAAAGUAAUAACCCGGCUUGGGUUCUCUGCAAAUUGAAACGAAAGGGCAAAGGAAUGGCCUUUCGGCCUUUGUUUUUCCGUUUGCGUCCCGAGCGCACCCCUGGAUGGUUUUUGUGGCCUUGACGAACGGAGGGAACCUCCGACAGUGGCGCACGACCAGAUCUCAGGUACGUUUCAACUCCUUUCCCUUUUAUUAUUAUUUUUUAUCUGUAAUAUAAUGCAAAAAAAAAAAUCUAAAAAGAAACAGAAGAAAGAAAAAAUAUCAACCUUUUAAUUUUUUCCUUGAUUGAUCUUUGUUCUCUUGUUAUUCUGCUGUUUUUUGUGUUGUGAAAAUACUUGCUUUUUUUUAUUGAUUUCGAAUCCUCCUUUUUACAAUAUUCGAGUCUGCUUUUAUAGAAGAUAAUGGGAAAAAAAAGGGAAAGAAAUCUCUAAUGCAUCUUGCUGAUUUUUCUCCGAUUUCCAUGUUAUUCUGCCGAUUCUGUUUUGUUGCCUUUCUUGUCGUGCAGGUGAAGGCGUGGAGAUUCGGCUCGUGCGGGUCUUGGCUGUGGCGGCUGAAGCUUACCCUAAAAACCCUAGGGAUUUCUGACACUGUUUUGGGCCACAUUGUAAUUGGGCCACUAGGGUUUGUAAUUUUGGGCCUAUUUUAUUGUAAAUGGACUGCUACAUUUGGAUCUCUUUUUUUAUUAUUGGGUUUUAGUAGACCCGGGGUAAAAUCAGGUAUUACAAU